rnacentral:rRNA from 1 species
UACGAAGGGGGCUAGCGUUGCUCGGAAUUACUGGGCGUAAAGGGUGCGUAGGCGGGUUUUUAAGUCAGGGGUGAAAUCCUGGAGCUCAACUCCAGAACUGCCUUUGAUACUGGAGAUCUUGAGUUCGGGAGAGGUGAGUGGAACUGCGAGUGUAGAGGUGAAAUUCGUAGAUAUUCGCAAGAACACCAGUGGCGAAGGCGGCUCACUGGCCCGAUACUGACGCUGAGGUGCGAAAGCGUGGGGAGCAAACAGG